UACGAAGGGGACUAGCGUUGUUCGGAAUCACUGGGCGGAAAGCGCACGUAGGCGGAUAUGUCAGUCAGGGGUGAAAUCCCGGGGCUCAACCUCGGAACUGCCUUUGAUACAGCAUAUCUUGAGUCCGAUAGAGGUGGGUGGAAUUCCUAGUGUAGAGGUGAAAUUCGUAGAUAUUAGGAAGAACACCGGUGGCGAAGGCGGCCCACUGGAUCGGUACUGACGCUGAGGUGCGAAAGCGUGGGGAGCAAACAGG
rnacentral:rRNA from 1 species